rnacentral:rRNA from 1 species
UACAGAGGGGGCAAGCGUUAUUCGGAAUUAUUGGGCGUAAAGGGCGCGUAGGCGGCCUGGCAAGUGGAAGGUGAAAUCCCUCGGCUUAACCGAGGAACUGCCCUCCAAACUGCUUGGCUUGAGUCCGGGAGAGGUGGGUGGAAUUCCCAGUGUAGCGGUGAAAUGCGUAGAUAUUGGGAGGAACACCAGUGGCGAAGGCGGCUCACUGGACCGGAACUGACGCUGAGGCGCGAAAGCGUGGGGAGCAAACGGG